UACGUAGGGACCAAGCGUUGUUCGGAUUUACUGGGCGUAAAGGGCGCGUAGGCGGCGCGGUAAGUCACUUGUGAAAUCUCUGAGCUUAACUCAGAACGGCCAAGUGAUACUGCAGUGCUAGAGUGUGGAAGGGGCAAUCGGAAUUCUUGGUGUAGCGGUGAAAUGCGUAGAUAUCAAGAGGAACACCUGAGGUGAAGACGGGUUGCUGGGCCAACACUGACGCUGAUGCGCGAAAGCCAGGGGAGCGAACGGG
rnacentral:rRNA from 1 species